rnacentral:rRNA from 1 species
UACAGAGGUCUCAAGCGUUGUUCGGAUUCAUUGGGCGUAAAGGGUGCGUAGGCGGCGCGGUAAGUCGGGUGUGAAAUCUCGGAGCUUAACUCCGAAACUGCAUUCGAUACUGCCGUGCUUGAGGACUGGAGAGGAGACUGGAAUUUACGGUGUAGCGGUGAAAUGCGUAGAUAUCAAGAGGAACACCUGCGGCGAAGGCGGGUGCUGGGCUGACACUGACGCUGAAGCGCGAAAGCCAGGGGAGCGAACGGG